CUUCUUGAUUCAGAACGUAGGAAGUCUGAUGCCAGCUCACUCAUGCCUCCCCUGAGGAUCUCCCUGAUUCAGGAUAUGAGGCACAUCCAGAACAUCGGGGAAAUCAAGACUGAUGUGGGAAAGGCCAGAGCAUGGGUGCGACUGUCCAUGGAAAAAAAGUUACUUUCCAGACACCUGAAGCAGCUCCUCUCAGACCAUGAGCUCACCAAAAAGUUAUAUAAGCGCUAUGCCUUCCUGCGCUGUGAUGACGAGAAGGAGCAGUUCCUCUAUCACCUCCUGUCUUUCAAUGCCGUCGAUUACUUUUGCUUCACCAAUGUCUUCACAACUAUCCGUGAGUAGCCCUGUGCUCCCAGCUGGCCUUCUCAAGGCAGUCUUUAUGAACCUGCCUGAGACUCACUCAUUGUCCCCUUUUUAAAGAAAGAAGAUUAUUCCUUGUACUUUCUAUUUGUCUUUUGCCUCUGUGGGGAGAGAGGUGCACUUGCCCUCCUUGGAGGCUGUGUUUUCUCUGAAGUUUCUCAUUCUUGUUCUGAACUGGAGAGCUCAGUCUUUUUUGCCAUUGUGUUG
rnacentral:sRNA from 1 species